AGCGGCGGACGGGUGAGUAACGCGUGGGCAACCUGCCUCAUACAGGGGGAUAACAGUUAGAAAUGACUGCUAAUACCGCAUAAGACCGCGGUACCGCAUGGUACAGCGGUAAAAACUCCGGUGGUAUGAGAUGGGCCCGCGUCUGAUUAGCUAGUUGGCGGGGUAACGGCCCACCAAGGCGACGAUCAGUAGCCGACCUGAGAGGGUGACCGGCCACAUUGGGACUGAGACACGGCCCAAACUCCUACGGAAGGCAGCAG
rnacentral:rRNA from 1 species